rnacentral:sRNA from 1 species
CCCAAGGACACCCCCUCGGGCAUCUCUAAAGUGAAAAUACUCUUCACCUUGGCCAAGCAGAGCAAGGCCCUCGGUGCCUACAGGCUGGCCCGGCACGCCUAUGACAAGCUGCGUGGCCUGUACAUCCCUGCCAGAUUCCAAAAGUCCAUUGAGCUGGGUACCCUGACCAUCCGCGCCAAGCCCUUCCACGACAGUGAGGUGAGGAUGCAGCACCCUUGGGCAGGUGGCUUCUCCUCCUCUCCCUUGAGGCCAUCUCAUGCCUUCUUGCCUGGCCUGGGUUCCGUUUGAAGAGAGACAGCUGCAGCUCCCUCUAGGCUCUGUGCCCCCUGCUCAAGCCUGGCCAUGCCAGCUCCCCUGUGCUUCCCUGUCCACCUCCUGUUCUCCCCGCAGUCCACCUGGCGCCCGCUCACAGCCCCCGGCCCCAGCCUCAGCCCUCAGCCUGGCCUCCCUUGCUCCUUGCCCUCCCC